rnacentral:rRNA from 1 species
AGUGAACGCUGGCGGUAGGCCUAACACAUGCAAGUCGAACGGCAGCACAGUAAGAGCUUGCUCUUACGGGUGGCGAGUGGCGGACGGGUGAGGAAUACAUCGGAAUCUACUUUUUCGUGGGGGAUAACGUAGGGAAACUUACGCUAAUACCGCAUACGACCUACGGGUGAAAGCAGGGGAUCUUCGGACCUUGCGCGAUUGAAUGAGCCGAUGUCGGAUUAGCUAGUUGGCGGGGUAAAGGCCCACCAAGGCGACGAUCCGUAGCUGGUCUGAGAGGAUGAUCAGCCACACCUGAACUGAGACACGGUCCAGACUCCUACGGGAGGCAGCAGGUGGGAAUAUUGGACAAUGGGCGCAAGCCUGAUCCAGCCAUACCGCGUGGGUGAAGAAGGCCUUCGGGUUGUAAAGCCCUUUUGUUGGGAAAGAAAAACAGCAGGUUAAUACCCCGCUGUUCUGACGGUACCCAAAGAAUAAGCACCGGCUAACUUCGUG